rnacentral:rRNA from 1 species
GAUGAACGCUAGCGGCAGGCCUAACACAUGCAAGUCGAGGGGCAGCACAAAGAUAGCUUGCUAUUUUGGUGGCGACCGGCGAAUGGGUGAGUAACGCGUAUGCAACCUGCCUUCUACAGGGAGAUAGCUCGGAGAAAUUCGGAUUAAUAUCCCAUACGGUCUUUUUAACACAAGUUUUAGAGAAGAAAGCUACGGCGGUAGAAGAUGGGCAUGCGUCCUAUUAGUUAGUUGGUAAGGUAACGGCUUACCAAGACAGCGAUAGGUAGGGGGCCUGAGAGGGUGAUCCCCCACACUGGUACUGAGACACGGACCAGACUCCUACGGGAGGCAGCAGUGAGGAAUAUUGGUCAAUGGAGGCAACUCUGAACCAGCCCUGCCGCGUGCAGGAAGAAUGCCCUAUGGGUUGUAAACUGCUUUUUAUUGGGAAGAAACCCUCUACGUGUAAGAGGCUGACGGUACUAAAUGAAUAAAGGUCCGCUAACUCCCGUGCCAGCAGCCGCGGUAAUACCGAGGAUCUAGUGGUAUCCCGAAUUAUUGGGGUUUAAAG